rfam:Hordeum vulgare subsp. vulgare, WGS project CAJW01000000 data, contig: morex_contig_2553980
AACGUACUCCCUCCGUCCGAAAAUACUUGUCCGAUGAAUAGAUGUAUCUAGAUGUAUUUUAGUUCUAGAUAUAUUCAUUUCUAUCAUUUUUGUGACAAGUAAUUCCAAAUGGAGGGAGUAUAUA